GGGUUGUGAGGUUAAGCGACUAAGCGUACACGGUGGAUGCCCUGGCAGUCAGAGGCGAUGAAGGACGUGCUAAUCUGCGAUAAGCGUCGGUAAGGUGAUAUGAACCGUUAUAACCGGCGAUUUCCGAAUGGGGAAACCCAGUGUGAUUCGUCACACUAUCAUUAACUGAAUCCAUAGGUUAAUGAGGCGAACCGGGGGAACUGAAACAUCUAAGUACCCCGAGGAAAAGAAAUCAACCGAGAUUCCCCCAGUAGCGGCGAGCGAACGGGGAGGAGCCCAGAGCCUGAAUCAGUGUGUGUGUUAGUGGAAGCGUCUGGAAAGGCGCGCGAUACAGGGUGACAGCCCCGUACACAAAAAUGCACAUGCUGUGAGCUCGAUGAGUAGGGCGGGACACGUGGUAUCCUGUCUGAAUAUGGGGGGACCAUCCUCCAAGGCUAAAUACUCCUGACUGACCGAUAGUGAACCAGUACCGUGAGGGAAAGGCGAAAAGAACCCCGGCGAGGGGAGUGAAAAAGAACCUGAAACCGUGUACGUACAAGCAGUGGGAGCACAGAGCAAUCUGUGUGACUGCGUACCUUUUGUAUAAUGGGUCAGCGACUUAUAUUCUGUAGCAAGGUUAACCGAAUAGGGGAGCCGAAGGGAAACCGAGUCUUAACUGGGCGUUAAGUUGCAGGGUAUAGACCCGAAACCCGGUGAUCUAGCCAUGGGCAGGUUGAAGGUUGGGUAACACUAACUGGAGGACCGAACCGACUAAUGUUGAAAAAUUAGCGGAUGACUUGUGGCUGGGGGUGAAAGGCCAAUCAAACCGGGAGAUAGCUGGUUCUCCCCGAAAGCUAUUUAGGUAGCGCCUCGUGAAUUCAUCUCCGGGGGUAGAGCACUGUUUCGGCAAGGGGGUCAUCCCGACUUACCAACCCGAUGCAAACUGCGAAUACCGGAGAAUGUUAUCACGGGAGACACACGGCGGGUGCUAACGUCCGUCGUGAAGAGGGAAACAACCCAGACCGCCAGCUAAGGUCCCAAAGUCAUGGUUAAGUGGGAAACGAUGUGGGAAGGCCCAGACAGCCAGGAUGUUGGCUUAGAAGCAGCCAUCAUUUAAAGAAAGCGUAAUAGCUCACUGGUCGAGUCGGCCUGCGCGGAAGAUGUAACGGGGCUAAACCAUGCACCGAAGCUGCGGCAGCGACGCUUAUGCGUUGUUGGGUAGGGGAGCGUUCUGUAAGCCUGCGAAGGUGUGCUGUGAGGCAUGCUGGAGGUAUCAGAAGUGCGAAUGCUGACAUAAGUAACGAUAAAGCGGGUGAAAAGCCCGCUCGCCGGAAGACCAAGGGUUCCUGUCCAACGUUAAUCGGGGCAGGGUGAGUCGACCCCUAAGGCGAGGCCGAAAGGCGUAGUCGAUGGGAAACAGGUUAAUAUUCCUGUACUUGGUGUUACUGCGAAGGGGGGACGGAGAAGGCUAUGUUGGCCGGGCGACGGUUGUCCCGGUUUAAGCGUGUAGGCUGGUUUUCCAGGCAAAUCCGGAAAAUCAAGGCUGAGGCGUGAUGACGAGGCACUACGGUGCUGAAGCAACAAAUGCCCUGCUUCCAGGAAAAGCCUCUAAGCAUCAGGUAACAUCAAAUCGUACCCCAAACCGACACAGGUGGUCAGGUAGAGAAUACCAAGGCGCUUGAGAGAACUCGGGUGAAGGAACUAGGCAAAAUGGUGCCGUAACUUCGGGAGAAGGCACGCUGAUAUGUAGGUGAAGCGACUUGCUCGUGGAGCUGAAAUCAGUCGAAGAUACCAGCUGGCUGCAACUGUUUAUUAAAAACACAGCACUGUGCAAACACGAAAGUGGACGUAUACGGUGUGACGCCUGCCCGGUGCCGGAAGGUUAAUUGAUGGGGUCAGCGCAAGCGAAGCUCUUGAUCGAAGCCCCGGUAAACGGCGGCCGUAACUAUAACGGUCCUAAGGUAGCGAAAUUCCUUGUCGGGUAAGUUCCGACCUGCACGAAUGGCGUAAUGAUGGCCAGGCUGUCUCCACCCGAGACUCAGUGAAAUUGAACUCGCUGUGAAGAUGCAGUGUACCCGCGGCAAGACGGAAAGACCCCGUGAACCUUUACUAUAGCUUGACACUGAACAUUGAGCCUUGAUGUGUAGGAUAGGUGGGAGGCUUUGAAGUGUGGACGCCAGUCUGCAUGGAGCCGACCUUGAAAUACCACCCUUUAAUGUUUGAUGUUCUAACGUGGACCCGUAAUCCGGGUUGCGGACAGUGUCUGGUGGGUAGUUUGACUGGGGCGGUCUCCUCCUAAAGAGUAACGGAGGAGCACGAAGGUUGGCUAAUCCUGGUCGGACAUCAGGAGGUUAGUGCAAUGGCAUAAGCCAGCUUGACUGCGAGCGUGACGGCGCGAGCAGGUGCGAAAGCAGGUCAUAGUGAUCCGGUGGUUCUGAAUGGAAGGGCCAUCGCUCAACGGAUAAAAGGUACUCCGGGGAUAACAGGCUGAUACCGCCCAAGAGUUCAUAUCGACGGCGGUGUUUGGCACCUCGAUGUCGGCUCAUCACAUCCUGGGGCUGAAGUAGGUCCCAAGGGUAUGGCUGUUCGCCAUUUAAAGUGGUACGCGAGCUGGGUUUAGAACGUCGUGAGACAGUUCGGUCCCUAUCUGCCGUGGGCGCUGGAGAACUGAGGGGGGCUGCUCCUAGUACGAGAGGACCGGAGUGGACGCAUCACUGGUGUUCGGGUUGUCAUGCCAAUGGCACUGCCCGGUAGCUAAAUGCGGAAGAGAUAAGUGCUGAAAGCAUCUAAGCACGAAACUUGCCCCGAGAUGAGUUCUCCCUGACUCCUUGAGAGUCCUGAAGGAACGUUGAAGACGACGACGUUGAUAGGCCGGGUGUGUAAGCGCAGCGAUGCGUUGAGCUAACCGGUACUAAUGAACC
rnacentral:rRNA from 1 species